UGCUCUGCGUCAUGACGUCACGCCCACCGUGCCCGCUGCGGGUGACUCGAAACGAGGUCGUUUCCUCACGCGCGUUUGUUCCCGCGCGGGAGCCGCCCCGCUGCACCCGAGCGGCCCCUACUGCGGCCCCCCACGCCUGUGCCUGGCUCGGGGGACUUCGCCUUGAGUGCGCCGGGCGCUGGGGCCAGUGUUUCUCUGCCCGCCUCUCCGUGGCCCCGAGAGCGUCUCCUCCCAGGACAGGUCGGGGUGGCUGGAGCGGCGCCUGAUUGAAGGGAGUUGCCGGACUCGGCGACCCCUGGCUCUUGGCGGUUUGCAGGGCAUUAUUCAUCCAUUAUUCAUCAUUCUCGGGAUUCACCUGCUGGAUCGGCGGGCCACGGGAGAGAAGCGCCGGGAUGUUGCAGCUCUCGGCGAGGAAGUAUCCUUUCCGAGAGGGAGGCAGCCCCCCGUGCGUUUGCAGCCGCCCUCUUCGUCUUACUGGACCUCAGUCUUUGCGGAGGCUGUCGGGAGCAGUACUUAGCCACAAUAGCAAGCCUACACACAGUCUCACUCUGUUGCCCAGGUGGGAGUGCAGUGGUGCAAUGUGAUCACACCUUGACCUCCUGGGCUCAAGCGAUACUUCCACCUCAGCCACCUGAGUGGCUGGGACUAUAGUGAAAUCCUAUGCUGUUGGAAAUGGAGAAAGGGAGAGGAAGAGUGAUGGCUGGAGGAAUCAGAUUUGGGAAUGCACAGUCCAGAUGGUAACAGUGACCCACGAGGAGGAAUUGUGGCCAGAAGCAUGCAGCCCAGAGCAAUCCCCAGGCAGUUGUUCUUCCUGCUGCCCUGGAUAAUAUGGUACAGUGACUUACACCUGUAAUCCCAGCACUUUGGGAGGCCGAGGCAGAAGGAUCGCCUGAGUUCAGAAGUUCAAGACCAGCUUAAAAAGAAAAAAAACAUAGCCUGGCAUGGUGGCAUGUGCCUGUAGUCCCAGCUACUCAGGAGGCUAAGGUGGAAGAAUCACUUGAGCCCAGAAGAUUGAUGCUGCGGUGAGCUGUGAUCACACCACUGCCCUCCAGCCUGAGCAACAAAGCAAGACCCUGUCUUAAAAUAAAUAAUAAUAAUGAUGAUCUAAGCAUUUAGAAUCACUCUGGAAAGAAAAACAAUGGAGAUGUUUGGCCAACAAUGUAGAGUAAAGGAAAAAGAGUACAACUACAAUGAAACGGGCUGAGAGGGGAGAACUGCAGUUCAGCACGGGGAGGAAAAGUCAGAGAUGUUGAUCUUCUGGCUCUUGGGACUCUAUCAGAACCCCAUCUGCUCACCCCAGUCCUCAGGCCUUCAGAUUAGGACUGCAUUCUACCACUGGCUUUCCUGGUUCUCCGGCUUGCAGAUGGCAGAUGAUGAGAAUUCUUAGCUUCCAUAAUCAUAGAUGGGGUCUUACCAUGUUGCCCAGGCUGGUCUGGAACCCCUGAGCUCAAGCAGUCCUCCUACCUUGGCCUCCCAAAGCCCUGGGAAUAUGUGUGUGAGCCAUCACCUCUGCUGGGCAAGCAUCUUUGAUAGAAACAUACCAAAUCACCAGAGAACACAUGUCAGAAAAAUAUAUACAACUGAUGACAGUCUCACUCUGUCACCCAGGCUCGAGUACAAUGGUGUGGUCUUGGCUCACUGCAACCUCUGCCUUUUGGGUUCAAGCAAUUCUCCUGCCUCAGCCUCCCAAGCAGCUGGGACUACAGAUGUGUGCCUGUAGUUUUUUCUUCAAGACUAAAAUAGUAACUGUGUUAAUUACUGUGCUCUGGGUAUAUGUGUUAAGAUUAUGCCCAGCAAAGGGCUCCUAGGCAAGGGUUUGAAUUGGGAGUGGAGUCCAACCUGAACUUUCUCAGUCUCAGAAAAGGAAGCCUUUUCGUAGUGACACUUAGAUGCCAACUGGCUAGCUGCAGUCCUUCUGGUUACCCAAACAUGGAUUUGGCCUUCUGUGGGAACUCAGUAAAACUUAGAAAACCAAUUCCAAUUCAACUUGGGCUUUUACAAGGAUUAUUACUCAAGGCUGGUGUGUUAGGCCAUUCUUGGAGUGCUAUAAAGGAAUACCUGAGACUGGGUAAUUUACAAUGAAAAGAGGUUUCAUUGGCUUACAGUUCUGUAAGCUGCACAGGAAGCAUGGUGCUGGCAUCUACUCUGUCAAGAUUUCAAAGAUCUUUGGUCCAGGUUCCCAUAAAAGAAGUCACUCAAGGUCCCAAAGUGAUGGCUGCAGGGUUACUUCCUCCCUCCCCUUCUUGCUCUAGGAAUUGGGUGUUCUUGCUGUGCAUCAAUGGGUUCUUGCAUCUCUGACAGUAAAGGUCAUUGAAGUCCUCAACUUGCGUUGAUCAUUGACUAAUAAUAAAAUAUGUCUAAAUUCGAGGAACAGAACCUUUCUCGAGUUGACUUAAUCUCUUUUUGCAUGCUUUGGCUCCUGACUUGUGAUCCAUCUACUUUUUUUUUUCUCUUCAUUUCUCAGAUAGUGAUGGGAGUGGUGAGCUGUUUGUCUCUUAGAUACCACAAGAGGCAGAGGGGAUAUGGCAGAAAUGGAAAUAGGAAUACCCAUGACCCUGCUUUUGGCUAGAUUGUGACAUAAGCAGCUGGACUCUAGAUUUUUCCGUGACCUUUAUAUCCUUCUCAUUAUCUGAGACUCAUUUUUUUUUUCUCAACAAUUGCUUUGUGGAAAGUGGAAAAGAGAAACAAUCAACUACUUUUUAUCAAAAUGCAAAUGACUGAUCAGACUCAUUGUGGGCCUCGGUGGCUCACGCCUGUAAUCCCAGCAUAUUGGGAUGCCAAGGCAGGUAGAAUGCUUGAGCCCAGGAGUUUGAUACCAGCUUGAGCAACAUAGCAAGACCCCCAUCACUAGAAAGAAAGAGAGAGAGAGAGAGAGAAACGGAGGGAGGGAGGAAGGAAGGGAGGCAGGGAGGGAGGGAAGGAAAGAGAAGGAAGGAAGAAAGAAGGAAGGAAGGAAAAGAAGGAAGGAAGGAAGGAAGGAAAAUUGCAUUUCUUUUUGUGAUAUUUCCAUUUUAACUUUGUGCCAAAACCAUUUAAUUAUGUUUCAGCAUGAGAAGCUGAUAGAAUUCCAGGCCAGUCAGUAGGGGCUAGAAGCUGUGUGAGGAGGGUUAGGGAGGGGAAUGGGAGCAGGAAAGGAGAAAUCUUUCCACUGCUCCUGAUUCUCAUUCAGGAGCAGCCCUGAAGACCACUUCUACCUGGAAUAAAAUAGAACGGCUUUGACCUUUUGAAUGUGGAGGCGGUAGCCUAGGUAGAAAAGGUAAAUAAAAAACUAGGUCAUAGACCUCAAAGUCCCCCCCAAAAUAAAAAGAUGUUUUAGGUGGGAACUGGGGCAUAAACAUCUUUGUGAAUUAGUGUGGAAGGAAUCUGAUCCUGUCGCUGUCCUAGUUUGUGCUCUUGUGAUUGUUCUGAUGCAGACGGUUCUUGAAGUGGGGGCAGGUCUAUCCACAGGUCUUGCUUCUGCCUGAUUUUUCUUCUUUUCAGUCUUUUGAGAUAGAGUUUCACUCUUGUCGCCCAGGCUGGAGUGCAGUGGUGCGAUCUCAGCUCACUGGGACUUCGCCCCCUGGGUUCAAGCAGUUCUCCUGCUUCAGCCUCCCACGUAGCUGGGAUUACAGGUGCCCGCCACUAUGCCUGGCUAAUUUUUGUAUUUUUAGUAGAGAUAGGGUUUCACCAUGUUGGCCAGGCUGGUCUCAAAGUCCUGACCUCAGGUGAUCCGCCCACCUCGGCCUCCCAAAGUGCUGGGAUUACAGGCGUGAGCCACCACAGCCAGCCUCCUCCUGAUUUUUCAUACUCCCUUUCUAUGAGCCUCCUUUGGUACUGGGUGUUAAAUUAUGUCUCAGUGUUGCUGGUGAUCUUUAGCCACUAUCCCUGCAAAUUUUUUUCCCCUGAGGCAGAGUCUUGCUCUUUUGCCCAGGCUGGAGUGCAGUUGUCCAAUCUGAGCUCACUGCAACCUCUGCCUCCCACAUUCAAGCAAUUCUUCCCCCUCAGCCUCCCAAGUAACAGGUGGCUGCCACCAAGCUCAGCUAAUUUUUGUAUAUUUAGUAGAGAUAGGGUUUUACCAUGUUGGCCAGGCUGGUCUCAAACUCCUGACCUGUGAUCUGCCCACUUCAGCCUCCCAAAGUGCUGGGAUUAUAGGUGUGAGCUACUGCACCCAGCCUACCCCUGCAAUUUUAAAUAAAAAGCUGGCACACAGGUGUUGACUUGAGGGAGCAAUAAUCUAAGAAUGUGCAUCACAGAGAGGCAGCUGUCCUCAGUUAAUUUAACAGAGUCAGCUUCCUGGAAAGAACUCCUGGCAAUGCGUAGAAUUAGAGAUUGGAGUAUCUUGGAAUUUUUUGGCCCAGAUUUUGUUGUGUGACUUUAGGCAAAUAGCAGCUGCAAGAAGAGAAGGGAGUGGCAGAUGGUAGCAGGAGUCUCAGAGUUGAUUCCGGAGUGCGGGGUGGGGGUCACGCUUCUCCCUUUGAGGGGAUAAAAGGCAGGGGCACAGGACCAAAUACUAUGGCUGUGAGAGGAAGCCCUCACCCCACCACCAGCUCAAGCAGGGCUAUAAGUUGUGGACUGGACUUCCCUAAAAGAAUGAUGUGGCAUUCUGAGGUCAGUGUGGGGUAGAAGUUAUAUAAAAGUUAAAAAGUUAGGGUUGAGGGGAGUAGGGAUAGGAUUACAUCAUCUGUUGGACACAGUAUUUAGCAAUAAAAAGAAAGUCCUGGCCAGGGGCAAUGGCUCAUGCCUGUAAUCCUAGCAUUUUGAGAAGUGGAGGCAGGUAGAUCACAAAGUCAGAAGAUGGAGACCAUCCUGAUCAACAUGGUGAAACCCCGUCUCUACUAAAAUAUAGGAAACUAGUCUGUAGUCUGGAUGGUGGCAGACAUCUGUAGUCCCAGCUACUUGGGAGGCUGAGGCAGGAGAAUUGCUUGAACCCGGGAGGCAGAGGUUGCAGUGAGCCAAGAUCGCACCACUGCACUCCAGGCUGGUGCCAGAGCAAGACUCUGUCUCAAAAUAAAAAAAAAGGUCCUAUGAUUUGCCUUUUAGGUUAUAAGAGAGAUAAAUGUUAAAAUAUGAAUAGCCUCGAAAGAUUCAAAAUGACCAUAUUGAAACAUCAUGUACUUUUAGGGGUCAUCGUAGGCCCUAGUCCCUGAGUGGAACUACAGGUAUGAAGCUUCUCACAGGGCAGAAGGUAAAGGUUUGGCACUGGUGACAACUGAAAAGCGUUCCAGCAGUGCAGCAGAGAAAAUCAAGUUGUGCACAGCAGAAAAUUAAGAAAGGAUGCAUUGGGGUUGGUGUCUUCAUGAGGCAGGGGCAUUAGGGUAGGAGGGGUAGGAUGGGAGGCUGGGCGUCAAUUGUCAAGGUAGGUACUGGAUCCCUAGGCACUUAGAAGUAAAGAAGAUCCCAUCUGUAAAACCUGGGCAUCUGGCACCUCAUGUUGAAGCAAGGACCAAUUCAGAUAGAGCAGAAGUUUGCAAAGUUGGAAAAACUGUGCCAGUAAUAUUUUUGGGAAACCAUAUCAUUCCCAGUUUGUUGAUCUGAGAAAUACUUAUAUAAUCUUUUACUUUAUCUUUAUACUUCCAAAUGAGAAUAAUAAACUCAAACCUUCCUCCUAAGACAAUAUACACAAAAUGCUUAGCAGAAAUGUGGUACUUAUAAAACAUUUCCAUAAAGGGCCAAGGUAGAUGGCUCAUCCUUGUAAUUUCAGUGCUUUGGGAGGUUGAGAUGGGAGGAUUGCUUGCAGCCAGAAGUUCGAGACCAGCCUGGGAAACAUAAUGAGACCUUGUCUCUAUACAAAAGUUAAAAAGUUAACCUGGUAUUUUGGUGCACACCUGUGGUCUCAGCUAGUUGGGAGGCUGAGGUGGGAGGAUCGCUUGAACCCAGGAGUAUGAGGCUGCAGUGAGCUAUGGUCAUGCCACUCCACUCCAGCCUGGACAACAGAUCGAGACCUUAUCUCCAAAAAAAAAAAAAAAAUUAAAAAGAAAAGAAGAAGAAAAAACAAAGAAAAAUUUUUGGCCCUUCGUGGUGGCUCAUGCCUGUAAUCCCAGCAUUUUGGGAGGCAAGGUGGGCGGGUCACUUGAGGCCAGGAGUUUGAGACCAGCCUGACCAACAUAGAGAAACCAGGAAACUUAGUCUCUACCAUAAACAAACAAACAAAAUUAGUCGGGCAUGGUGGCAGGUGCCUGUAGUUCCAGCUAUUUGGGAGGCUGAGACAUGAGAAUCACUUGAACUGGGGAGGCGCAGGUUGCAGUGAGCUGGGAUCCCAGUACUACACUCCAGCCUGGGCAGAGUGAGACUCUGUCUCAAAAAAAAAAAAAAAAAGAAAAGAAAAAAAAUGGUAAAAUGUUAUAAUGUUAAAAGCUAUUGCGUGAGUAAACAGCAGAUCAAAACUUGUAUCCUCCCCCUUUUAUCAAUAAGGAAAGCCCACUAGAGAUGCAAGAUAGAUGCAGGGCUGUUACUGUAGUUCUCCAUGAAGUCAUGAGGACUUGGACAAGAUGUUGCAAAAGAGAACUACUGGAGUUGGGUGGGUAACUAACUACAUAUGUGGGUUGAGGGAGGGAGAAAGCAGGAAGAAGAGCCAUUUAAGGGAGAAAAUAAGGUUUAUGUUAGGCAUGACACAGUCGAGCUGAUGCCAGCCCAUACAUGUGGGAGCACCCACCAGACUCGGGGAGAGAUGGGGAGAUUGCAGGGGGUAAAGGUGUGACUGAUUCCAGCGAAAGUCAGUGAUGAUGAGCUACACACUGGGCCAUUCUGCUUAGAAACUGGGCCAUUCUGCUUAGAAACUGGUCACUGAAGUCAUGAGGGUCAGUGAGACCAUGAGGGGAAGUGGAACAUGCAAGAGGAGAAUGGAAGUGAGAAGAUCAGAGAAUACCACAGUAAGGAGGUGGAAGGAGGAGGGAGUGUAGGCAACAAGUCUGUUCUGUUACUCCAUGGGACUUGCCUGAUGUUUGUACCUUAAGCACUCUGGACUCAGGCAUACAACUGAUACUCAGUAAAUUCUUAUGAAGUCUUCCCCCAGCCCCAGACCUCAUAUCCACCAUCCUGCCUUCUGAUGCCUUCCUACAUCUGUUCGACACUCCACCACCUCUGAGUGUUGGUCCAUGUUACCCACAUUCCUGGAGAUGCCUUCCUUUUUCUACUGAACCUCCGAGUUCCUGAGGGCCUGAGAAGUAGGAGAAAAAUCACACUAUUGCUAUCUUACAGAAAGGGAGAGAGAAAAAUGAUCAAUAGCCUCCUAUGGCCAGCAGGCUGGUGAGAGAAAAAAUCCUUGGACUCAGCAAAUUGAGUACACAGAUGAUCUUUCAAGAUACAGCUUCAUUAGACUUCUGAGAACAAAAGCCAGAUUGCAGGAGGUUAAGUCAGUGAUGAUUUUCUUUUGUGAAGUUUGAUUUAAAAUUGUAGUGCCAAAAGGCAAAGAUUAAAGGUCUGAGUCACUGAUGUGGAAUUCGUUUUAGGAAGGCUUUUUGGGGAUUUUUGCAAAGUGGUAAGUGAACCAGAGAAGGGCUGAAAAGCCUUCUCAAUAUUUUUUUUAUAAGCCUUUGCAGUUUUUUUUUUUUUUUCUAGUCAGAGUCUCGCUCUGUCACCCAGGCUGAAGGACAGUGGUGUGAUCUCACCUCACUGCAACCUCCACCUUCUGGGUUGAAGCGAUUCUUCUGCCUCAGCCUCCCAAGUAGCUGGGAUUACAGUCACUCACCACCACUCCCAGCUAAUUUUUGUAUUUUUAGUAGAGAUGGGGUUUCACCAUGUUAGCCAGGCUGGUCUCGAACCCCUAACCUCAGAUGAUCUCACUUCAAUGAACCUUCUUAUCAGUCCCUUAUUUCAUCCUCACAAGAGACUUCUGAAGGCACCAGCAUUUCCAUAUUACAGAUGAGGACAUUAAACCUCCAAGAAAUUAUGACUUGUUCAGGAUGUCAUAGUUCAUCUGUAGCAGCACUGGGACUCAAAUCCUGUCUCCUUGUCUACCACUCUGAAAUUUCAUUUCAGCUCACAGGUAAUAAGCAGCCUUUUAGGCCAUGUACUAGAAUUUGGGGUCUGAGGGUUCCUACUUCUGGCCAAAAUUGAAUGGGAUAUGUGGUUACUUCUUGGAGAUAAAUAUUUUAUAUCUCUUUUGGGGAGGAGGUUGAAGGAGGGAGAAUGAUGGACCAAAAGUCAGUUGGAUUCAUGUGGCUCAGAAAUGGGAGACAAAGGACAUUUACUUUCUCUUACCAUGGACUGUAGCUAGAAUAGUCAUUCUUGACAGCCCAAUCUCUCAGUAAGUUAACAAGAAUUUACUGAGUAUCAGUUGUAUGCCUGAGUCCAGAGUGCUUAAGGUCCAAAAAUCAGGCAAGUCUCAUCGAGUAACAGAACAGAGUGAGGCAGAGUUAUGAUAUAAAUAUACAUAAUCGCUAUUAUAAUGACAGAAUUCCUUGGAGAAAAUCAAUAGUCUUUGAAAGGUUGUUUUGGCAGUGUUUGGCCUGUAGUUUUUCCUCCAAAUGAGUGGAUGCUAGUCAAAUAAGAUUAUCAAAUGAAUGAAAGACAGUUAAUGGAAAUACCCUGGAAUUAAGCAGGUUUGGUGGGGAGUAUGUAUGUUGGGAGUUGUUGGGAGAGGGAGACAGCGUUCCAUAGAAAAAGGAAGGCAUCUCCAGGAAUGUGGGCAACAUGAACCAACACUCAGAGGUGGUGGAGUGUAGAACAGAUGUAGGGAGGCAUCAGAAGGCAGCAUGGUGGAAAUGAGGCCUGGGGCUAGGGGUAAGUGAGACAUAGAAGGGAGUGGGGAGAGAUCGGUGAUCAGCUGGUUACCACUUUUCUUCUUUUCCACAUCUCUGACAGGCACACACCUUGUUCAGGACUAAGAUUGUGAUGACUUGUUUGCAGUUGGAAUUUAAUCUGGGUAUACCUCCAAGCCAAUUAACUUAGCCCCCAUGAAGUUUUUACUCCAAUUCCCCGCCCUUUUAUCCCAUGAAAAUCCUUCUCCAGGGUGAGAGAAAUGAGAAUGUGCCCUUGUAUGUAGGAAAAUUUUAGAGUCAACAUCAACAUCACUUUUUGAAAAUAUAGUACUUUGUGCAGCCAAUAAGUCACAAAGCAUUAGGGUUUUGAAUAUCAGUCAAGCAGGACCUGUAGUUUAAUUUUAAAACAAAAGAGCAAAGAAAUGUCACUUCUAUUAUAAAGCAUGAAUUGUUACCACCUUACCCCUUUGCAAUCUGCUUAACAGAUAUUUGUUGCCUUUUAUUUUGUGAAGGAAAGAAAUGCUUUUGAAAUCUUCUCUAACCUAUCAUAUAUACUUCAGUUUUCCCCACCAGAUUAGCCCAAUGGCACUAGUAACAAAAGAAAAAGGUAAAUUUUUAGAAAAUGGCGUAGGAAUUCUAAUAGCAUAUAUAUCAAAGCAGAUGAUGAGAAUGUUUAUAUUUCUUCUUGAUGUCAAAUCACUGUUUAUCCUACAGAAGUCAAUGUUAUGGCAUGUGUAAUAUCUGGUCUUUUCUGGUUGCACUGUUUUGCUUUGGAUAAAAAUUUGAAAGGGCUUAUAACAGACAUUCAAAUGCCUGUUGGGCUUGGAUAGGAUGGGGCUUUAAUCUGUGAUGACUUGUUCUGUUUUAUCAUUUCUCAUAUUUUGGCAAACCAGGCUUUGACAGUAGGCUGAUUCUUCUUGGUUAUAAUGUUGACUUCUGCCAAAAUAUACAGCUCUUUAGAGUAAAAUAUCAAUAACCAUAAUUCUUUGCUUAAAAUACCUAGUAAUAUUUUAAUUGGGUUUCCAGAUUGUUGUGUUCUAGUAAUGGACACCAUAUGCUCAGAGAAGCAGUGUGGUACAGUGUAGUGGUUAAGAGAACAAAUAGUGAGUGCUUAAGACAUACAGGCUGGGAGGUAGAUAGCCUGAGUUCAGAUCCCAGUUCUGCUUUUUACUAUUAUGUGAUCAUGGGCAUCUCAGUUUCUUUACAUAUAGGGACAAGGAUACUUAACUUAUAGGAUAUUGAAAUGAUCAAAUGAGUUAAUACAUAUAAAAUACUUAGAAAAAGUGUGGUCCUUAAUAAGCACUCAGUAAAUGUAAAUUAUUAUCAAAGGGCUUGGUUUUACUUAAUGGUCUUGGGGCAGAUCCACCACAUGAUUCUCUGAACUCUUUCUUGGUAUAACAUGUUUAUUGAGAUACAAUUUACUUACCAUAAAAUGUAUCAUUUUAAAGUGCAUAAUUCAGCGUUUUUUAGUGUACUCAGAGUUCUGCAACUAUCAUUACAAUCUAAUUUUGAAACAUUUUCAUUGUCCCAAAAGAAGCCAGAAACCUGGGCCCAUUAGUAAUGGUUGAAUUAUUUUACAUUCCCACCAGCAAUGAAUGAGGAUUCCAUUUUCUCCACAUGCAGAUGAACACUCGUUACUAUUUGUCUUUCUUAUUUUAGCCAUCCUACUUGGUGUGAAGUAACAUCUCCUUGAGGUUUUGAUUUAAAUUUCUUAAUGAAUAGUAAUAUGGAGCAUUUUUUCACGUGUUUAUUGGCUAUUUGUAUAUCUCCUUUGAUGAAAUAUCUAUCAAAUCCUUUGCACAUUUUUUUUAAACCAGGAACAUGUGCACAUUAUUGAAUGCCAUUGUAGAAAAGUGUGGGGCUGAUACAGGACUUGGCUCCGGGGGGGCAGGGCAAGGAAUGGAAGGUGGAGUACGUGGGAAACAGGUCAUGGGCAGAGCUCCUGGCCUGGAUGAUGCCUCCUGCUCUAUCGAUGGACUUGCAAGAUCAAUACUAGAUGAUGAUAAGCAGAAUGGCCAUGAUGAUGCCCAAAACAGGGCCCCAGUGUUCAGGCACUUGGCAGUGAAGGCAUAGACCUGGACCCUGGUCAGGUCGCCAACCAUCUUCCUGUCCCUAGAGUUUACAGAGUAGGUGAAUGCUAUGAAGCCCAGGCAGUAGGAGUUUAUGAACAGAUGUUGAAAAGGGACCAGAUGACAUGGUCGGGCACUGAGGUCUCGCUGCAGAUGUGGAUCACGAUGGAUGUUGGGGGAGCAGGGUUGUGGGGCAUUCCCCAGCACAGCCACCUCGUGCUCCUCCUUCAGCAUCUCAUAGUUGGGGGAAUGGUCAGUAUUGGCAGGAGUGAAGAAGGUUUAGACAGUGUGGUUCAUGGUGUCCAGGGAAGACCAGCUGUGGUCAGGUUGCUGGGAUGGUUUUCCCCUUUGCACAUUUUUAAAUUGGGUCUAACUUCUUUUAAUCCACUGAAUUUUCACUAUAAUUUUUUUUUUUUUUGAGAUGGAGUCUCACUUUGUCGCCCAGGCUGGAGUGCAGUGGCAUGAUCUCGCUCACUGAAACCUCCACCUCCCAGUUCAAGCAAUUCUCCUGCCUCAGUUUUUUGAGUAGCUGGGAUUACAGGCGCAUGCCACCAUGCCCAGCUAAUUUUUGUAUUUUUUAGUAAAGGUGAGGUUUCACCAUGUUGGCCAGGCUGGUCUCAAACUCCCAACUUCAGGUGAUUUACCCGCCUUGGUCUCCCAAUGUGCUGAGAUUACAGGUGUGAGCCACCACACCUGAUCUCCACUAUAAUUCUUUAUACAUUUCAUUAUAAUUUGUCCAUUAUAACUCUCUCUCUAGUAAAAAAAAUAUAUAUAAUAUUCCAAGAAACUGGUGCAUAUAAUUUAACCAUUCAUCUGUGGAUGAUUAUCUCUAUUUUUCCUGCUGUUAUUAUAAAUAAUGCUACAACAAAUAUUAUAGUACAUAUAUUCAUUCUCAUGUGUUUGUGUUUUUCUAUAAGGAUAGAUUUCUAUCAGAUAAUUGUACAGUUAAAAGAUAUGUAUCUAUAAAUAUUUUUAUAGAUAUGCCAAAUUGCCCUCCAAAAAGAUUAUACCAAUAUAUACUCCCACUAACAGUGUCUGAGGGUAUUUCUUUACUCAUACUCUUAGAAAAGUUUCCAAUGGGGUGAUGGAUAAACUAACUUAUUUUUCUCAUUUCAUGUUGUAUCUUCAGGAAACUCUUUCAACAUUAUAUUUACAUUUUCAGACUGCUUUAAGCAUAAGCUUUGCAGUCAAGAAAAGAGGGAAUAAUGUCAGCAUUAUUAUGAAGAAGCUUCCCAUAUCCACUAAGAAAAGGAUAAUCCUUUAAUAAUUUUAAUAUAAUUUAUAAAAACUUUUGCCCUCCGGUUUUCUGUUAUGGGUAUUUUAUUUUAAAAUUUUUAAUGCCUGCAUUCUAUGGGAUGCUAUGAUUUAUAUUGUAUAUGAUUGCUACUUUUACUGGGAGGAUAUAAUGGAAAUUGAGCAAUGUGAAUAAUUUCCUGAAUUAUUAAAAAAAUAAGUAACCAGUUUGAGAAAUGUUAACCUGAAUUUUUGAGAAAUCAAACUCACUGCCUCUUAGGAGUUAGUUUGCAGAGAAACUUACCUUUCCAUGUCCAUGUAAACUGGUCCCUGAACAUUUUAAACAUUGACAUUUUGGACAUUUACCUUAAAUGUUUGGAGUAUUUAGUAUAAUUGAUAAUCAGUAUUUCAAAUGCCCGUUGUCCUUUUGAUGGUUCAGGAGAAAAAUAGUGAUGCUGUCUUUUAGUUCUUUUCUUUCUUUUUCUUUGAGGCAAUCUCACUGUGUCAUUCAGGCUAGGGUGCACUGGUGCCCUCUCAGCUCAUUGUAACCUCUGCCUCACUGGGUUCAAGUGGUUCUCAUGCCUCAGCCACUCAAGUAGCUGGGAUUACAGGCACAAGCCAUUAUGUCCAGCUAAUUUUUGUGUUUUUAGUAGAGACAGGGUUUUGCCAUCUUGGCCAGGCUGAUCUCAAACUCCUGGCUUCGAGCAAUUGGUUCGCCUUGGCCUCCUGAAGUGCUGGGAUUACAGGUGUGAACCACCACGCCCAGCCCAAGUUUCUUCUUUUUCUUUUUUAAAAAAUUUUUUUAGAGUUGGGGUCUCACUGCGUUGCCCAGGCUGGACUUGAAGCAAUCCUUCUGCUUCGACCUCCCAAGUAGCUGGGACUACAGAUGUGCCCUGUCAUGCCUGCUCCUAAGUUCUUAAUUUGUGGUAGGCAGAAUAAUGCCUCCCCCGGGAAAGCCUGUGUCCUAAGGCCUGGAACCAGUGAAAGUGGUAGGUCCAUGGCAAAAGAAAAUUAAGAUAGAAGGUAGAAUAAAGGUUGCUAAUUGGCUGACUUCAAGAUUGGGAAAUUAUACUGAAUACUCGAUGUGGGCUCAGUGUAAUCACGAGAGCCCUUAAAGGUGGAAGGGGGAGGCAGAAUACAAGUCAGAAAGAAAGAGAUAUGGCCGGGCGCGGUGGCUCACCCCUGUAAUCUCAGCACUUUGAGAGGCCAAGGUGGGCGGAUCAUGAGGUCAGGAGAUGGAGACCAUCCUGGCUAACACGAUGAAACGCUGUCUCUACUAAAAAUACAAAAAAUUAACAGGGCAUGAUGGCACGUGCCUAUAAUCCCAUCUAUUUGGAAGGCUGAGACAGGAAAAUAUCUUGAACUCAGGAGGCAGAGGUUGCAGUGAGCCGAGAUCGCACCACUGCACUACACUCCAGCCUGGGCAAUAGAGCAAGACUCCAUCUCAAAAAAAAAAAGAGAGAGAGAAAGAGAGAGAGAGAGAGAUGACAACAGCAGUGAGGUCAGAGGUAUGGGAUGUGAGAGGUACUGGACCUACUGUUGCUGGUUUUGAAGCUGGGGAAGGGACCCAUGAACCAAAGAACAUGAGCAGCUUCUAGGAGCUGGAAAAGGCAAGAAAAUAGGUCUUUCCUAGAGCCUCCAGAAGGGAAUGCAGGCCUGCCAGCACCUUGAUUUCCCCCCAGUAAGACCCAUUUUGGACCUCCAGAACUGUAAGAUAAUACAUUUAUAUUAAGAUGCUACGUUUGUGGUAAUUUGUUACAGCAGCAAAUAGAAAACUAGUAAGAUUUGAAAUGUUAUAAAUGUUACUGAGUAGGCCAGUUUCCUCAUUCCAUGCCAUUGUAGGUCUUUGAAUGUGGAUCUCUUACGAAACUCAUGAAAGCUUACAUUCUGCCCCAGAACUACAGCUGCCAAUCCUUCUGAUACAUAUUUCUUCACCUGUCCAAAUCCAGUCAAUUGAGAGCUUUGCUCCAGUGCCUAAUGUGGCUUUAGACAUUGGCAAGUCUGUGUAAACUGCACAAGGACAUGGAUGUUACGUUCUUUUAAAUUUAUUUGUCAGGUGCCACUUGGUUCACGAUGACUGUGUUCUCUAGGAAUGUUUCUUCGUCUCUCGUUAACAUGGAGGCAAAGAAUGUCAUGUCACGUGUUGGUGAGAGAGACCUCCCUUUGUCUCUCUUCUGGCCGAAACUCCUACUCCUAUCACGUGACACUAAUGAGUACUCAGUCUUCUCAGGGCUACUGAUCUUGGCACUGCUGUUUGGCACAGGAAUAGGCAAUAAUCCAGGACUUUCCUGGUACUUCUGAACCUGGAAUAUGAGAGCCAGUGUUGCAGUCUCUCUCUGGUGGUGAAACAGUGAAACACCAGAUGUAGGCAGCUAGCGGGUGCCUCCGUUGAGAGAAUAAAACUGAAGGGUCAAGAGAGAAAACUCACAGAGUUCGAGUUCUUGGCACCCGUUAUACUUGAGGCACAGCUGCAUAGAAACCCUUCCCAAGGUUUAUUUAUAUAAGCAAAUAAGUUCUUUGCUUAAAAAAAAAUCAAUUUUGGUUGGGUGCGGGGGCUCACUCCUAUAAUCCCAGCACUUUGGGAGGCCAAGGUGGGUGGAUCACAACAUCAGGAGUUCAAGACCAGCCUGGCCGAGAAGCUGAAACCCCAUGUCUACAAAAUACAAAAAUUAGCUGGGCAUGGUGACAGGCGCCUGUAAUCCCAGCUGCUCAGGACACUGAGGCAGGGAAUUACUUGAACCUGGGAGGCAGAGGUUGCAGUGAGCCCAGAUUGCGCCACUGCACCCCAGCCUGGGUGACAGAGUGAGACUCCAUCUCAAAAAAAAAUCAGUUUUAAUCAUUUCUAUGAAUUUCACUCACCUGCAAGGAAAAUAAUCUUGAUUAAUUCAUUUGAUAAAGGAGUAUUAGAGUUCUGUAAGAUUCAAGUUCAGUUGCUCUUACUUGCAACCAUGGGUUAGCAGUGUCCCUGUCUCCUAGAUAUACCACCAAAUAAUUGAUGUCACUGUUAUGCAUUCACUGAAAUUGUAUAAAUUCUUUCUAUAUGUCAGUCUCAUCCAGAUGUCUUAUAUUCAGUAAUUCUCACUGUUUUACAUAACCAUAUUUUCUCAAAAUGACCUAUGAAAAAAAUUAAGUUACAAAGAUGAAAGACUGGGAAUUGCUGAAUGCUACCUCUUGGAGUGUCAUAUAUAGACAAACAUAUUAAAGGCUCUGAAAAGUCCUGUGUCAAAUAAAAUUAAUCAAAUAGUUCACAAAAAUAACAAAUAGUUUUAAAAGUUCAACUUUGCUUAUAAUUAAGUAAGUGCAAAUUUAGACAACACUAUUUUAACCAAUUAGAUUGGCAAAUAUCAAAAAGUAUGUUACUAUACUGUUUGGGGUAGGAUAUCAGAAAAAAGGAAUUUGCAUGCAUUGUUGAAGGCAGUGUAAAUUGCUAUACUGUGUUUGGAGGAUAAGUGACACUAUUUAUAAAAGAUAAAAAUGUGCACAUAGUUUGACGCCCCCUCCCCAUUUUAUUUACAGAAUGUUAUCUUAUUGAUAUGCUUCUGCAUUUGCACAAGCAUAUUCAUUUCCGCUUUUUUUUUUUCCUGGUAAAGGACACCUAAAUGACCACCAAUAUUAUACUGGUUAUAUAAAUUAUGAUUAAUCUAUGCAGUGAAAUGACUGGAUAGUCAUUUAAAAAUGACUGGACAGAAAUCAGGGUUUCUUAACAUUGCCAUUUGGGGCCUAAUAAAUCUUUGUUGUGGGGCUGUCCUGUGCAUUGUAGGAUGUUUUGCAGCAUCCCUAAACUCUAACCAUUAUUUAAAGGGUAUUUAGUGGGUAGGGAGUUUGGUAAAUGCUGCCUACUAGUUGCCAGUAGCAACCUGCUCUGUCACUCUCCCAGUUGUGACAAUUAAAAAGUCUACAGACUAAUUAUUCCAGGUUGAGAGCCACUAAUCUAUUUUUUGGUAUAUUUAAUGUAUCCAACUGAAUCACUGAUCUAAAUGAACUGAUAUUUUCCCAAGAUAUAUAAGUGAACAAGGGAAAAUGCAGAAGUCUGUAUAGUUUACUAUCAUUUUGUAAUGUAUUUAUCCAUAUCUAGCUAUACAAAUUAUAGCUUGAUUUACCAAAUUGUUUAUAUGAAAGCUCUUCAAAAAGUUCAUGGAAAAUGCAUAUUAUGAAGUAAACUAUGCAUAGAUUUAAAAAAUUAUACCAAAAUUAACUUGCACUAACUUGUUAUAACAUGUCUGAACAGAAUCUAGUUUGAGGCAGUAAGAAGGAUAAGACAUCAGUUUGAAUAGAACCCCCUAUUAGAGCAACAUGAAUUCUGCUAAAAUAGAAGCAAGAACAGACAUCAAAUUUAGGGUGAAGCUUGGGUGGAAGAAUAGUGAAACCAUUGAUGCUUUAUGAAAAGUUUAUGGGAACAAUGUUCCAAAGAAAUUUGUAGUUUAUAAAUGGAUAACUCAUUUUAAGAAAAGACAAGAUGAUGUGCUAGAUAUACCCCACGGUAAAUGGGCAGAUCAUCCACAUCAACUUUUUUAGAGAAAAAUUAAUCAUCUUGUACAUGCUCUAAUUGAGGACCGAUGAGUAACAGCAGAAAUAAUAGCCAACACCAUAGACAUUUCAGUUGAUUCAGCUUAUAUAAUUAUGACUGAGAAAUUAAAGUUGAACAAAUUUUCCCCUUGAUGGGUGCUAAAACCAUUGAGCCAGAUCAAUUGCGGACAAAAGCAGAGCUUUCAAUGGAAAUUUUAAACAAGUGGAUCAAUCCUGAAGCAUUUCUUUGAAAAAUUGUAGCAACAGAUGAAACAUGACUUCACCUUACAAUCCUGAAGACAAAGCACAAUCAAAGCAAUUACCAAGAGAGGUUAAGUGGUCCAGUCAAAGCGAAAAGGGACUGGUUAAGAGCAAAGGUAUGCCAACAGUUUUUUGGGGGAUGCUGAAAGCAUUUUGCUGGUUGACUUUCUGGAGGGCCAAAGAGUGACAACAUAUGCUUAUUAUGAGAGUGUUUUGAGAAAGUUAGCCAAAGCUUUAGCAGAAAAAUGCCUAAGAAAGCUUUACCAGAGAGUCCUCCUCCACCAUGACAAUGCUUCUGUUCAUUCCUCUCAUCAAACAAGGGCAAUUUUGUGAGAGUUUCCAUGGAAAAUCAUUAAGCAUCCACCUUAUAGUCCUAAUUUGGCUCCUUCUGACUACUUUUUGUUUCCUAAUCUAAAAACAAAACUAUAAAAGGCGUGUAAAACUUCAUAUACAUAUAAAGUUUGAUAUGUAUAUGUAUGUAUGUAUGUAUCUAUCUAUCUAUCUAUAUAUAUAUACAUAUGAAACUACAUGACAUGGUUACUCCCAGGAUUCUCAGUUCUCUAGAGAUGAACUGAAUGAUUGGUAUCAUCACUUACAAAAGUGGCUUGACCUUGAUAGAGCUUAUGUCAAGAAAUAAAGUUUGUGAUUUUUAUUUUUAUCUUUUAAUUUCAUUUUUCCAUAAACUUUUUGAGAUCUCCUCAUAUAUACAUGCAGUGGUUUUGGAAGGAUACACAAGAAACUACUAGUAACAAUUGCUGAUUCUGUGAAGAACUGAAGGAUAGAGCUGAAGUGAGCAGAAAU